UACGUAGGGUGCGAGCGUUGUCCGGAAUUACUGGGCGUAAAGAGCUCGUAGGUGGUUUGUCGCGUUGUUCGUGAAAACUCACAGCUCAACUGUGGGCGUGCGGGCGAUACGGGCAGACUGGAGUACUGCAGGGGAGACUGGAAUUCCUGGUGUAGCGGUGGAAUGCGCAGAUAUCAGGAGGAACACCAGCGGCGAAGGCGGCGCUCUGGGCCGGAACUGACGCUGAGGAGCGAAAGCGUGGGUAGCAAACAGG
rnacentral:rRNA from 1 species